rnacentral:lncRNA from 1 species
UCAAAGUUUCCAGCGGCUUAACGACACCGUGCGCGAGUCGUUUAGUAAUCGGGAAGGAUGCGCGGCUUCUGCACGCUCGUCGCGCUCGUGGCGAUCCUCUUCGUGAGCCUUGGCUGGGGUUGGUCUUUCACGAACGUGGCGACGUCCAUCGGCGACAAGUUGAUGCAGUCGCGACCUGAGGAGUCGCGAGUUUUGAAUUUCGACGGGAGCAACAGCACUUCGGCCAACAAGACCGCGGACGUCACGGUGCAGGGCAGGAUAAUAAUGGUUCCACGAAGGAGCAACGGUCGCUGCCAGCCGGACGAGCAGGUCGAUCGGCGUGGCAAGUGCAGAACGGUGUGGUGAGCGAGUUCGGCCCGGACAAGUAACGGGGGCAAGGAUCUUCGUAGAUAGUCGACAUCAUAGCUACUCGUCAUCAUGGAGGUACUCCCGAGAAGGAAGCAAGGGAGAGAGAGAGAGAGAGAGAGAGAAAGAGAGAGAGAGGACCAUUCGAGAACUCUGGAACAAUUCGCGAUGACACAUCGGAAGCCCGCGCGCCGGCGACAUCGAGCACUGCGAGCGGGACACGAUUAAUCUCGAAACGGAAUUAUAGUCACUUCCGGCGUUGAUCAUACUUGUUCUUGCUCUCAGGAGAAAGUAUUAGCAGCAAAAUAUGCAUGUACGGUUUAUUGCGAUAAGCAUUGAGCGAAUGGCAUUUAUUACAAAUACGCUCCUGCCGACUAUAAUCGCUUCGCUGUGCGAUUUCUUUCUCAAUCAUCGGUCGGUGCGUCGAUGCCGAGAUUGCGCGAAAUCUCCGUAGUCAGAACCAGAUUUUUAACCGUGGUGGAAGCGACCGAGAUACUGCGGGUCACACAUCGGGCUCGCGACGAGAAAAGAAUCCGCAAUCGGUUUUACUUUGUAUUUAUUCGCGAUUUCAACGGUCAGUCCGUUCCGCAAGCGUCGCAGACCCAUAUCGAUUUUACACCGAGUGCACCGAAAUCAAUCGCGGGAGUAUUAAAAUUACGCUUAAUAUCAAGGCAAGAGAAUCAAAUGAGCAAACAACCGAGUUGCGCGAGCGAAGCGAGCGAAAUCGAUCGAGAAGCCAACGACCGCGGUUUCUUCGAUUAAACAUGCGGGGUAAACUCGGGGAUGAUGGCCAUGGGAAAAGACGGCUGUAAGUUCUCGGAUAAUUGCUAAAUAAUACCUUUUGCGAUCAUUCUCAAAGAUAAUUGACAGUAAUAUAACGGUAAUUUAUGUGCCUGCACUAUUCGAGAUAACAAUAUUGUGAAUGUUAUAUCGGGUUUUUACUUGCGAGGCUGCCUGCAAAAUUUUCCAUAUAUUUACCAAAAACAACGUCGAGUAAAUUACAGUUAAACUGUCAACAUUAGACAUAUAACGAGUGUGACAUAAUUUUUAUCUCAACUUUCGCUGUUUUCUUUUUUUAUGUUACGGCCACCUUUUCUUCAUAGUUUGGGUAAGAUGAUUCAUUCUCUUCAGGGUUCGCCAACAUAAUCGACAUCAUAUUAGCAUCAGUACUGCAGGCGGAGAACUAUCGAUGUUCCACGUAGUCGAUAAUUACAGAUAAUUUGUAAUAUUGUUUCCAUCGAUAACCAUCGAUCGUUACCAACAGCGUCAUUGAUAGUUUUCCGCUUAUACAUUAUAAAAAAUAUAUAUUAAAAUUAUAAAAUAAAGUAAAUACACGUAAAAUUACAACUGUUUUUAUUAUUUUACAAAUGUUAGAUAUAUCUUUAACAUGAAAUGAUCAACUGUUCGAAAAUACAAUAGCUAUCUCUUCCUCAGGAGUCAGAUGAGAUGGCCAAGAUGCUAAUGUUUUAACAUUCGGACAAUAUCAAAUUUUUACUAAAUAUUUUUUCUUUAAUUUAUCGAUAGUAUUGCACACUCGAAACCUCAGCGAAGUAAUAUGACAAGCGCUGUUAAGAAAUAACAGAAACAAAAGCACGUUCUUUGCAUUUUAAAAAACUAUAACCACCUUAUCCGCGUUUAUCCUAUCUAUGAGAUAUCUUAAUAGUCAUCUUAAAGUGAAGUCAUCAUAAUAUCAUUAUAUCAUCAUAGGUUUGAUUCACUCGGAGACGUAUGAUGAUGACGGCCCCGACUCUUCCUCGAUGAAUCUCGUCACGCGUUCAGCGUCCAAUGGAGGAAUUUGCUCCGUGAUGAUGACUCCGAGAAGACACUUUUCCCCGAAGCCCGCGAGGAAAUUCCGCUUUCGAUCCGCUUCUGAUCUGCUUCCAAAUCUGCUCACGCACGCGUACGUGCGUACACCGGCCGAAAGUACAGUCAUUACGCACCGAGGUGUGUACGCCGGUCUGAGAGCGUACGAUAAGACACGCAUAUUUAAUGGCUUCAGAUAGAAUCGAGAUACAUAGAGUACAUAACGCCUGACACAUAUAUCCGUACAUGCAACCGUGCAAAACUGUCACACCGGCAUCGUAAAAUGGGUGAAAUGCAUAUUACAUUGUGAUACGCAAAGCGCCGUAGUGCGUUUCUUCGGUUUAUCGGCCGCAAUUCCGUCGUUCAUUCGGCGAAGGCGAAGGCGAAGGCGAAGGCGCGCGCGCGGACCUCCUCAAUAGUUUAUCGCGUUGCGGAAGUUUUUGACGUAAUUAUCAAACGAACGCUCGUGCGUAAGCGAUCAGGAUGUGAUUUCAACCGGAAAUCAAGGCUGACAGAAUGGGUGGAGACUGCAAACCGCACUGAUGAGGGCCUAUAUAAACACACGUGCAAUGAUCGCCGGCAGGGUCAGUCGUUAAUUAGCGCGCCGAUGUUGUAAGUAACGCGAGGAGAAGAGAGCGUACGACAACUUUCAUUGGAUUUUCGCUCGGCUCGAUUUGACGGCCGGAGAGGAUUCGGGCAAGCUCGCGAUCUCGCCGUUCGCAAUAAUGGCGCCGGCGCGUCUGUUACUGCUGAUUCUCGUGGCUUUGAUGCUGGUAUUUGCAAAUGAGGGAAGGCCACUGACUUUUCCCAGGAGAAACUGGCAGACGAUAUGCCCGCCAGGCUAUAGGCGUCUUCGUAACGGAGGCUGUAGACUGGUCACGCUGUACUGAAAAGGCGAGAAUGGAGUACAAAGGCCACGAGGCGUAUCUUUUUCCAAAGAUUUCGGAUUGACGAUACUUAGAAAUGAUAUUGCAAUUAUUUUUUUUUCAAAUUAUAAUGUAUCAAUUAUAAUAAAUAAAAAUACA